rnacentral:tRNA from 1 species
UGGGUAGUAGCUGAGUGGUAAAGCACCCGCUUCGCAUGCGGGAAGACCUGGGUUCGAUUCCCGGUUGCUUAC